rnacentral:rRNA from 1 species
GUCUACAAUCAUAACAUCCUGAAUGUGCCCAAUCUCAUCUAAUCUUAGAAGCCAAGCCUGGUUAGUACUUGGAUGGGAGGAAUACAAAUUAGUUUGUGGCAGGCC